rnacentral:rRNA from 1 species
CCUACGGGAGGCAGCAGUAAGGAAUAUUGGACAAUGCUCGCAAGAGUGAUCCAGCCAUGCCGCGUGCAGGAAGAAUGCCCUAUGGGUAGUAAACUGCUUUUGAACUAGAGAAAACCCCAGUACGUGUACUGGGCUGAUAGUAUAGUUAGAAUAAGCAUCGGCUAACUUCGUGCCAGCAGCCGCGGUAAGACGAAGGAUGCAAGCGUUAUCCGGAUUCAUUGGGUUUAAAGGGAGCGUAGGUGGACUGAUAAGUCAGUGGUGAAAUCUCCGAGCUUAACUCGGAAAUUGCCAUUGAUACUGUUGGUCUUGAGUACAGUUGCUGUGGGCGGAAUAUGACAUGUAGUGGUGAAAUACAUAGAGAUGUCAUAGAACACCGAUUGCGAAGGCAGCUCACAAAGCUGUAACUGACACUGAGGCUCGAAAGUGCGGGGAUCAAACAGGAUUAGAUACCCUGGUAGUCCGCACCGUAAACGAUGAUUACUCGCUGCUAGGGGGCAACCUUUAGUGGCUUAGCGAAAGCGANAAGUAAUCCACCUGGGGAGUACGCCGGCAACGGUGAAACGUCAAAGGAAUUAGACGGCGUUGGAGGACGNGCGAGGACGACGACGAGGGAGGAGG